UCCUGAUACGAUCCACUGCCGGAUGUCCACCGCCACUUGGGCACAGGAUCACGUGAUUUCCUUUCAUCCACAUCCUAUCCUCCUCGCUAUGUAUCACCUAUCAUCAAAUCGUAAUAACAUAUUAUUUCUGAUAAUGUCCAAAAACUAAAGAAGAAAAACAUAGCAUCAGCCAUUUGUCGAAGUCCACCGGAUGGUUUGAAGAUAAUAUCCAACGGAUAUGGCGUCAAUUCUGCCAUGACGGCCCACAAUGGAUUUGGACUGUUCCUAGAUCUUUUAGGACCCAUUAUCACUUCGUCCAAAUACUUGAAAAGACCUUCCACCGUUUGCUGAUUACCCCAAGCUUGAGGCAACGACGGCCAAAGCCAUUCAUGAUCAAUCGUCCAGCACCCGUCCAAAUAUCGUUAAGAGUCGGUCCAAGGCCAACGACACCUCUAUCAGGUUUCAAGAUCAAAUCACCAAAUUCUCGAUGUAA
rnacentral:lncRNA from 1 species